AAGUCGUAACAAGGUUUCCGUAGGUGAACCUGCGGAAGGAUCAUUAAAAAGUAUUGGUUAUACAUAUCCUGUAUCAACUGCACAAACCCCAUUCCGAGUACCUUGCCCUGUUGCUUCCAUGGGGGCCUGACUUUGGUACUCUUGUGAUGGAAUCCCAAGAGAGUCCCAUGGGGGUAAUCAUAAAUUCAUGUAUCCAAUGUUUCUUUGAACUGUUUAAACAAAUGUUAAAA
rnacentral:misc_RNA from 1 species